rnacentral:rRNA from 1 species
CCUACGGGAGGCAGCAGUGAGGAAUAUUGGUCAAUGGCCGGAAGUCUGAACCAGCCAAGUCGCGUGAAGGAUGACUGCCCUAUGGGUUGUAAACCUCUUUUAUAAGGGAAGAAUAUAUGCUACGUGUAGCAUUUUGUCUGUACCUUAUGAAUAAGCAUCGGCUAACUCCGUGCCAGCAGCCGCGGUAAUACGGAGGAUGCGAGCGUUAUCCGGAUUUAUUGGGUUUAAGGGGUGCGUAGGCGGUUUUUUAAGUUAGUGGUUAAACGUCGGGGCUUCACCUUGAUUUGCCAUUAAUACUGUAAGACUCGAGUUCAGACGAGGUAGGCGGAAUAAGUUAAGUAGCGGUGAAAUGCUUAGAUAUAACUUAGAACUCCGAUAGCGAAGGCAGCUUACCAGACUGCGACUGACGCUGAAGCACGAGAGCGUGGGUAGCGAACAGGAUUAGAUACCCGUGUAGUC